rnacentral:rRNA from 1 species
GGGAGGCAGCAGUUAGGAAUCUUGCGCAAUGGCCGAAAGGCUGACGCAGCAACGCCGCGUGGGGGACGAAGGUCUUCGGAUCGUAAACCUCUUUUCCAGGGGAAGAUAGUGACGGUACCCUGGGAAUAAGCCCCGGCUAACUACGUGCCAGCAGCCGCGGUAAUACGUAGGGGGCGAGCGUUGUCCGGAUUUACUGGGCGUAAAGAGCGCGUAGGCGGCUCGCCGAGUCGUGCGUGAAAUACCCCGGCUCAACCGGGGGGAGUCGUGCGAUACUGGCGGGCUAGAGGUCGGAAGGGGGAAGUGGAAUUCCCGGUGUAGUGGUGGAAUGCGUAGAUAUCGGGAGGAACACCAGUGGCGAAGGCGGCUUCCUGGUCCGAUCCUGACGCUGAGGCGCGAAAGCGUGGGGAGCGAACUGGAUUAGAUACCCUGGUAGUCAC